rnacentral:rRNA from 1 species
UACGAAGGGGGCUAGCGUUGCUCGGAAUCACUGGGCGUAAAGCGCACGUAGGCGGGCUCUUAAGUCGGUGGUGAAAUCCUGGGGCUCAACUCCAGAACUGCCUCCGAUACUGAGAGUCUUCGAGUCCGGAAGAGGUGAGUGGAACUGCGAGUGUAGAGGUGAAAUUCGUAGAUAUUCGCAAGAACACCAGUGGCGAAGGCGGCUCACUGGCCCGGUACUGACGCUGAGGUGCGAAAGCGUGGGGAGCAAACAGG